UUCGUAAUGUUUAAACAAAGCUCAGUUUUACGUUUAUUUCUGUGUUGAAAUAGGGAAAACAAAAUAAAGCUGGUAAAAGUAGAGAAAAUUUCCUUUCCAACAAGCCCUUACAGGCCUUCUUACGCUCAGUAUUUUCUUAAUUACGAUAAUUUGAAUUUGUGACCUUCGCAUAGUUUUUAUGGAAAAAGCUGUCAAUAUUUACAUGUAACGUCAAGGUCGAUAUUGUUGCGUCUUACUCGAAACAACAAAUUCUUUUAUAAGUCUUUUUUGACCAUUUAAAUGUAUUUUUUACUGAAAUAAAUGCAUAAUACAAAAAAGAAUAGAUUUCAAAAAACAAAUAUAUACUAUCGUUCUGCCUUUGAUGAAUCGAAGUGAAUGUUCAUUUAUUCAUCUAUAUGUAAUGAUAUAUAUUUCAUGUAGUGAUAUACAAUGUUGAGAAAAAAUUGUAGAUUCCCAAAACGUCGAUCUUUACUAAAAAAAAAUCAAUCAGAUUUUUAAUACUGUUGUUUCUUGUUAUCUUGUUAUACUUAUCAAUUUGCAAUUUAAUUAGAUCUAUAUUGGCACGAAAUUUAACAAUACAAAAACUCGCAUUUAUAAAUAAAUACGACUCAUCACUGUAUGAGUUGAUACGAAUUGAAAUAACCACGUGUUUCCGCUGUGGUGUAAACAACAACAUGAUCCGAAAUCUGAAAGUCAAUUUUCAUGAUUAUUUCACGACGAAGAUCAUCACAUCAAUGAAUCAAAUAUUACGGACAUGCUUUUGAUAUUAGCAGGGUGCUUUCACCAUAUGCAACAAUACUUUCAUCUGUGAAUACCCACUUUCUAAGCCCACCAUGAACUACGAAGGUCAAAUUAAUAUGUAAGGACACCAAAGAACAGACACUUUCCAAUUAUCGUACAUCAUAGACAUGGGUGGUCAAACUCACUGGAUGGUUUAUCAACACUCCCAUGCUCACGAACAGCCUUGCCCCAGGAAUUUUGCCCUGAAGUAACAUUGCAGUCUAUUGUCUCCUUUCUUUUUACAACCCUGGCAGCCAUGCAGGAUAGAAGCUGAUCACUUGUACUUGACAGCAAAUAACAAUGUCUUGGACAAGUCAAAGAAUUUCCUCCAGUCUUACAGAGAAAUGACAGUUGAUAAAAGAAUGGUGGACACAAAGUAAAAGUGCUCUUCAACAUUUUGUUGAAGGAUUCAGUCUGAUUUGGAAUUCAUCUUGCAAUAUUUCUGGAUUUGUAUAUUUGGAUAUAAGCAUCAAAUUUUCAACUUAUUGACUAAACAGUUUUGGGCUAAAUAUUGCCAAUGCUAUUUAUUAUUAUUAUUAUUUCCCUCCAAGAUAACAUGUCAAGUCUUUAUU